rnacentral:rRNA from 1 species
CACCGCGGUUAUACGAGAGGCCCAAGUUGAAAGACCCCGGCGUAAAGCGUGGUUAAGUUAAAAUUUUACUAAAGUCGAAUACCCUCACAGCUGUCAUACGCACCCGAGGGUAAGAAGCUCAACCACGAAGGUAGCUUUACUUGUCUGAACCCACGAAAGCUACGGCA